GGAACGUGGGUGACUUUCGGCUCUCAGAUCUCUGAUGAGAUGGCGGAGAGUGUGAUGACGGUGGCGUACGACAGCGGAGUGAACUUGUUUGACACGGCAGAGGUUUACGCCUCAGGGAGGGCGGAGACGACUCUGGGAAACAUCCUGAAGAAGAAAGGCUGGAGGUAUGUCUGUCCGUCUCU